rnacentral:rRNA from 1 species
GAUGAACGCUGGCGGCGUGCCUAAUACAUGCAAGUCGAGCGAACGGACGAGAAGCUUGCUUCUCUGAUGUUAGCGGCGGACGGGUGAGUAACACGUGGAUAACCUACCUAUAAGACUGGGAUAACUUCGGGAAACCGGAGCUAAUACCGGAUAAUAUUUUGAACCGCAUGGUUCAAAAGCAAAAGACGGUCUUGCUGUCACUUAUAGAUGGAUCCGCGCUGCAUUAGCUAGUUGGUAAGGUAACGGCUUACCAAGGCAACGAUGCAUAGCCGACCUGAGAGGGUGAUCGGCCACACUGGAACUGAGACACGGUCCAGACUCCUACGGGAGGCAGCAGUAGGGAAUCUUCCGCAAUGGGCGAAAGCCUGACGGAGCAACGCCGCGUGAGUGAUGAAGGUCUUCGGAUCGUAAAACUCUGUUAUUAGGGAAGAACAUAUGUGUAAGUAACUGUGCACAUCUUGACGGUACCUAAUCAGAAAGCCACGGCUAACUACGUGCCAGCAGCCGCGGUAAUACGUGGGUGGCAAGCGUUAUCCGGAAUUAUUGGGCGUAAAGCGCGCGUAGGCGGUUUUUUAAGUCUGAUGUGAAAGCCCACGGCUCAACCGUGGAGGGUCAUUGGAAACUGGAAAACUUGAGUGCAGAAGAGGAAAGUGGAAUUCCAUGUGUAGCGGUGAAAUGCGCAGAGAUAUGGAGGAACACCAGUGGCGAAGGCGACUUUCUGGUCUGUAACAGACGCUGAUGUGCGAAAGCGUGGGGAUCAAACAGGAUUAGAUACCCUGGUAGUCCACGCCGUAAACGAUGAGUGCUAAGUGUUAGGGGGUUUCCGCCCCUUAGUGCUGCAGCUAACGCAUUAAGCACUCCGCCUGGGGAGUACGACCGCAAGGUUGAAACUCAAAGGAAUUGACGGGGACCCGCACAAGCGGUGGAGCAUGUGGUUUAAUUCGAAGCAACGCGAAGAACCUUACCAAAUCUUGACAUCCUUUGACAACUCUAGAGAUAGAGCCUUCCUCUUCGGGGGACAAAGUGACAGGUGGUGCAUGGUUGUCGUCAGCUCGUGUCGUGAGAUGUUGGGUUAAGUCCCGCAACGAGCGCAACCCUUAAGCUUAGUUGCCAUCAUUAAGUUGGGCACUCUAAGUUGACUGCCGGUGACAAACCGGAGGAAGGUGGGGAUGACGUCAAAUCAUCAUGCCCCUUAUGAUUUGGGCUACACACGUGCUACAAUGGACAAUACAAAGGGCAGCGAAACCGCGAGGUCAAGCAAAUCCCAUAAAGUUGUUCUCAGUUCGGAUUGUAGUCUGCAACUCGACUACAUGAAGCUGGAAUCGCUAGUAAUCGUAGAUCAGCAUGCUACGGUGAAUACGUUCCCGGGUCU